UAGGGAAUCUUCCACAAUGGGCGAAAGCCUGAUGGAGCAACGCCGCGUGUGUGAUGAAGGGUUUCGGCUCGUAAAACACUGUUGUAAGAGAAGAAUGACAUUGAGAGUAACUGUUCAAUGUGUGACGGUAUUUAACCAGAAAGUCACGGCUAACUACGUGCCAG
rnacentral:rRNA from 1 species